GAAAGUAUCUACCCUGGUUUCAAAAAAUCGCAAAUAUUUAACACCUUGGGAGUAGCCAAAGAUGUUUUGGAAUGCGCCGUGUUCAUUUCCGAAGAUCCAAAUCCUUUGUUUAUUGAUGAGCGUGGCUGUAGAAAACUGGGGAUUUUGAAAAUUCCUCUUAAUAAAGGAAAUAAAACGUCGCGGGGUGAAAUGGAAGAAACCAUGAUUUUUGGAGAGACAGAGCUGAGAGUGAGAGCAGAAGAUCUCUUUACGGGUAAUGUGCAGGAGGUCACAUUUGAUUUACUGCAGGAAUGAAUGUAACAUAGUAUAGAGUUUUAAGUAUUUUUUUUACUCCAUCCUUUGAAAAAAACUACAAUAUGUAAGUUUUCCUGUUUAUCUUCCCUUUUGUAUGAAAGCUUGUCUUGUCAAUUUGAUAUUUAGUUUGUUAAUCAAUUUCAAAAUAGUUUGACUUUGCUGCCAAACGCUAGCUUCCUGAUGGAAAUCUAGCCAUUAGAUGUAUAUUUCUAGUUUAUUCAACCGUAAAUAUUUAAACCACUUACAGCUGCAUGUAUUGGGCAACGUUUUUUUAUGACGUUUGUUUGAUCAUUGAUAUCUGUAACAUUUAAUUGGUUGAAAUGAUAUGUCCUUUAAAUACCCUUUGUUUUCCUCAAAGAUAGUAUGCCUUUCUUAAGAUCAACACACAAACCUAAAGUGAUGGAUUUAAAUUUCAUAUUUUUAUGUGCAAGUUGUCGAAUUGGACUUUUUUUUUUUACAAGAAUGUACAUCAUCAUGAGAGCUGUAUAUGUACUGCUCUGUAGUUGUUGAUUAAUUAUCAAAAUGUUUUGGAUGAACCACAAUUAUACUAUUCAUCACCACUUUAAUGUUGCAAUCGUUUUUGAUGGAUGUGCUACAAUGUCUGAUUGUAGUAGUUCUGACAGGAACGUACAUGUAUGUACCAACGUUAUACAUAAACUCUACUUCUUC
rnacentral:misc_RNA from 1 species